ACAGGAAGUGACGUGUUACCGUUCUCUUUCCACAUGCUGGUGCUCUGUGAAAAGGUGUGAAAGAAUCCACUGCCAUCUGCGAGCUGUGGGUCUCCGUCAUCAAAAUGGAAGCUGUCGCCAGUGUUAAAGGUGCAGAAGACCCUCACAACAGGUCUGUUUCUUUAAGUCGUACAUGCAAUGGGUGAGGGGCAUCACAUGGAAGUAUUGGGAGUUCUGUUACCCCCACGUGUCCUGGAUCACAGAAUGAUGGCUGAAGUUGGAGUGCUGGUCUAAACUCUGGAUUGUUCAGCGAGCACAGCUGGUGUCCAGGUGUAAGAGAAAUGAACUCAUGAGGAGACCUGAGGAAACCCUGCACACGAGAAACUACAAAGCAGAUCAUCACCAUGUCUGAUGUGGAGAAAUAAUGUGUAAUAAAGAGUGCUGCUAUAACAUG